GCAGCAGCUGCAGAUUUUCGUGGAUCUUCUUCAAAGCAGGAAGAAGACUUACCAGUGAAAGAUUCCUCCCUUAUGUACAUUACCAGAACUAAUUGUUCCUUGUCUCGACUAGUGGCUGGAGUGAAAGUGGAAGGUGCCUCAGCAUGAGCAUUAACAUCCGUCUGCUCUGCUGUCAUAUGCCCUCUGUUGCAGUUCAGCAAUUGUUGCCGAAUGCUGCUUAUAUGUGCUGAUUGUGACU
rnacentral:lncRNA from 1 species